UACGAAGGGGGCUAGCGUUGCUCGGAAUCACUGGGCGUAAAGCGCACGUAGGCGGAUCUUUAAGUCGGGGGUGAAAUCCUGGAGCUCAACUCCAGAACUGCCUUCGAUACUGAGGACCUUGAGUCCGGGAGAGGUGAGUGGAACUGCGAGUGUAGAGGUGAAAUUCGUAGAUAUUCGCAAGAACACCGGUGGCGAAGGCGGCUCACUGGCCCGGUACUGACGCUGAGGUGCGAAAGCGUGGGGAGCAAACAGG
rnacentral:rRNA from 1 species